rnacentral:lncRNA from 1 species
UUUUUUUUUUUUUUACAAAUUGAAUGUGGCAACUCUGCAAUGAUAAGAAGUCUGGUGUCAUUUUUCAAACAGCAUUUGCAGACUUUGUUUCUCUGAGUCACAUUUUGUUAAUUCUUAAAAUAUUUUAAGCUUUUUCAUUAUUAUAUUUAUUAUGGUGAUAAGUGAUCAAUGAUCAUUGAUGUUAUUACUGCAAAAAAUUAUGACUUCCCAAAGGCCCAGAUAAUGAUUAGCGUUUUUUUUUAGCAGUAAAGUAUUUUUAAGAAAGAAAGGGAGAAAUAAAGAAAGAAGGAAAGGAAGAAAGAGAAAGAAAAGGAAAAUCGAGGAGGCAAGUUUAUUAGCAUUUGUUAGAAAAAAUUUUUGUUUUUGCAUCAUCUAGAUUACCAUUAUUGCAUGAAACAAUAAUGUGUAUUUACAGAUAGUCCUACUGAUUUUAAAGUUUUAUAUUUUUCAGAAGUUGAAUAUUUAAGGAAUAGUAAAAUGUUUUUCUCUAAUAUUAUAAAAAUCCUUACGUUCAUGCAGUGAAUAAGAUACCAGAAAAUUUUGUCUGCUAGGUAUACUCCAAUAAUUUAUUAUACAGAAUAGGUUUAUUAGAUACAUGAUAGAUGAAGACAAAAUAAACAGAAAUAUUUGAAAAAUUGGUAUUAAAAUAAACAGAAAAAUAAACUUUAUUCAGUAAAGUCUUAUUAAACUGUUAUUGAUAUAAACAGAAAAAUUUGAAAUACCUCCUUUUCUUUAAUUAUUCUACAAUAUUUUAAUAAAAAUUUUAUAAUCAUUAAGUGGCUCAUUCAAAAUCUAUUUCCUGUAUUUCACAUUUCAAAGUAAUAUUCAUUCUAUGAAACUGAUAAUGAGAGCAGCAAACACAAACUUUUGAAAUGUAGCAAAAUAGUUGAGAAAAUGUCUAAUAAAAAUUACAAAGAAAAAUUUUGUCUCAUAGCAGAAUAAUGGACUCUAGUGAAGAAAACUGAGAGCACCAUGAGAGUGAAUGAACUAUAUUUUCAUAAUCUUUGAUCAUCCUCUUUUUGGUUUCCUAUGCACAUACUGAUUAUACUUCUCCUUUUCAAGUGACACAUUCAGCAUAACCUGAAAUGAUUAAUUAUAUUUAGUGUCUCUGUUGUCAUCCUGAAAUACUGUUCAUUUCAACGAGAUUUUAGUGAAUAAUCAUUAAAAAGUUGUAACUAAAAACUUCCUCUAGGGUUGCAUAAAUCAGCUUGCUUUUGGUGUUAUUUUGUGUUCUCUCUGAAGAAAAUAUUUGAAAUGACAACAGCAAUAUAGUUAAUAAAAAAUGCAGAUGUAAAGGAUUAAUGGUUAAAGUUUAAAGUACUUAGAUAUUAGGGGCCAGGCAAAAGGUGAGGAAGUCCUAGUGGAUGUUGUUUUUAGGUCACUGUUCUGAAUUUCAUGCAGUUUAGAGGUCUUGGUAAGACAUUAUCAUCUAAAAACUAGAAAUAUGAUAUUAACCAUAUCCUAACAGCAGUGGAAAUGAAUGAGAAAUGUAUGAGAAAGAGCAUGAUGAGGCCUGAAUUUGUAAUAUUCAUCCACGUUUGAUAAUCUGUAAACACAAUAUAUGGUGAAAAUGGUUACAUGUAAUCAUGGAAACAUGAAGGAAAAAUGAAUGAAUUCUACAUUGCAAUUUAAGAAAUUAAGUUUAGGGAAUUCCCCUUGUGACUCAGUGGAUUACAAACCUGACCAGUAUACAUGAGCACAAGAGUUCGAUCCCUGGCCUCGCUCAGUGGGGCUAAAGGAUCCAGCAUUGCUGUGAGCUGUGGUGUAAGUCACAGAUACGGCUCAGAUCCCACAAUGCUGUAGCUGCAGCAUAGGCCAGCAGCUGCAGCUCCAAUUCAACCCCUAGCCUGUGAACUUCUAUGUGCUGCAGGUAGAGCCCUAAAGAGCAAACAAAAUUAAAACGUUUUUAAAAAGACAUCAAGUUUUAGGAAUUCCCAUGUAGCUCAGAGGAUUAAGGAGCUGGCAUUGUCACUGCUGUGGCUCUGAUUACAGCUGUGUGUAUAAUCCUAGCAUGGCCAAAAAAAGACAGACAUUAACUUUAGAAGAUAUGUUAAGGCAACAGAACACAUUUUAGACAAAGAAUCACCACUGAAAUUCUGAGAAUUCUUAGGGGAUCAUUAAGAAUGGCAGUUCCCAAGUCCCCAACCUGAAGAAGAGUAAUAGAAAAGGAAUUAUCUGCUUCCCAUGGAAUCCAAAUGCUUACCCUCAUGCUGAAAUAUAUGGUCAAAAAAGACACAUUUAUCAUGUUUAUCCAUAUAAGCAUAUAUGUGAUCAACGAAUACUGACAAAUGUACUUCUAAACCAGUCAAAAACUAAUCAGUGAUUUCUCAUAAUACAUUUGAGUCCAAAAUAUAUUAUUCACCACUUGUGAUAUGCUAGGAAAAUUUUUAGAUAAAAACUAAUACUAGCAAGUCUCAAAGUUCAUGAAUCAAAAAGAUCCUAUUUUGACUAGAAGAAAUGAAACAGAUACCUGCAAAAUAAGUAAUUGUAUGAAUAAAUUUUAUAAUAGAGCAAGAGUAUUUUUUAAAAGGGUUCUGAUAUAUUAGCAGAUUAGAAGAUCAGGAGACACAGAAGAUGUAUAUCCUCCUUCCUAUCUUUAUUUCUGCAGGGCCAGGUUCGAUCCCUGGCCAGCACAGUGGGUUAAAAGAUCUGGCAGUGCCAUAGUCACAACUAGAAUCUGAUCCCUGACCUGGGACUCCAUAUGCUCAGGAUGGAAAAAAAGAAAAAAGAAAAAAAGAAAAGAAGAUGUUAAAAUGUUAGACUCUAUUAACACAGCCAUAGCCAAUUUUAACUGUUACUCAAAAUUGAAAGACAUUGAAAGUCACGAGCAUUCUAUUAUAGGGCCUAAUUGUUGCUGCCUUUUUUGUUUUUGUUGUUUUCAUUCAAAAUCCAUAUUAAUUCAAUAUAAAUUUUUAUGAAUUAUAAUAAAGUUAUUUUUAGUUUACAAAUGGAUGUAGUGCCACAGGGUUUUACCAAGGAAUAUCUGGUUGUAGAAUAACAACAUUUUGUCUGCAUUAGUUUCUAAUGAUCUUUGGAUACGUGAAAGACAACAGUCUUUGAUGCCAUGUGAAUGGGUUUGACAUAAUUUUCAAGUUAGCAAUGUGCUUAUGGGCAAUUUAAACGAUUAAACGAUUAUCUAUUCUUCCCUGAACCUGAUCUUUCUUCUCUCAAAUGAAUAUAAUACUUUUCUCAUAUGUUGCUAUCAUAAAAGACUGUUAUCAUAAAAGACUGUUAUAUAUGUAGCAUAUAAGUACUAAAUAAAUUUACUAUUGUGUACAACAAUUAACCCAAUAUUUUAAAGAAAAUGACACUUUUUCUAGUGUGUCAUUUUCUAGGUGAAACUACAAAAUUUGACCUGAUGGUCAUCUCAGAAGAGGCAAUUACCAAGUGGGUCACAUAGAAAGACGUGGAGGGGCGUUCCCGUCGUGGCACAGUGGUAACUAAGUGUCUGGUAGAAAUAGAAGUUCACCUCCCUUUAAAGAAAGGAGCUGCCUACCUGAGGGAAAUGCAGUCCGCACAGACUCCAGCUUUCAGCUCCUUCAGGCUAAGCUUCACAGAGCCAACUGACCAAAUGUCCAUCCUUUCCCUGGUCAAUUCACCUUCAGGGACUGAAUGAGGCAGGGUAAUGGCCCAGAGUUUUUGCCUCCCCCAAAAACACUCAGGAAGGCAAUAUUGCUACAGAGCUUUUGGUACCUUGAAUGAGGCUUUGUCGGGCAGUAUUACAGUUCCAAUCAUACACUGUCUGAUCCUGCCAGAUCCCAUCCUGCCCACUUUCCUUUCACAGAUGUUGAUCACAAGGUGUUGACAUACGGCACUCCAAACUCUGUCACAUCUGCUUCUGAAGAACCUUAAAUAUGACAGUUUAGCCAGAAGUGAUUGAAAACGGCGAUAAGGUUUUACAGCUAAAUCACCAUCCACCUGGACAGAAUAAAGAUCCUCAUCAUUCUUGAUAGCUGCAGUCCAAGCAGUCCCUGGCACAAGAUGGUGGUUCAGUUGCUAAAACCAGAGAGGAAUCUUGGUCUCUGGGUGGAAGAAAGUGCAUUAGCAGUCUUGCCAUGAAUUUGAGACAUAGGAAAAAAAUAGUAGAUGUUAGAAAGUGGUAUUAUGUAAGAGACAGAGUGAGCAUUUGAGACAAAGAAAAUAGCACUUGAAAGACAAGUAUGGAAGCCUGAGGGUCACUUUGGUUACAUAUGAAAAUCUCGAAUUUCCUCUAAGGGAAGGGAGAGAAAGCUGAAAAAAUUAGAAAUGUGGUUAAACUUCAAAGAUAGCUAAGCACCCAGCCAAAGUAAGUAUAUCAUGCCAAGAUCAGAGCUCUGGCAGGGAAAAAAGAAACCCUCACACAUAAAUCUUAUAAACCUUGUGAGCCUAUAGAUGCAGACGGUCUAUCCAUCCUUGAUAAGAGUUAACACUUCCUCUAAACUGAAAAAUAAUGCAGAGGCUUCUCUCUUCCAAAGCAACAAUCUCUAGGGAUUAUUAGAAUUUACCUGGCCAAAUAUCCUGAACGAAGUUGUUGGGUUUUUUGGUUUGUUGUUUUUUUUGUCUUUUUUUUUUUUGUUUUCCCUUAGAUUAAAUACGUAAGUCAUAUUCCUUUACUACUACAAACAAAUCUAUAGGUAAUUGUAUUAGUCGGAAAUCAUUAGUAAUACUAGUGUUAAUCCAUUAACUUUUUUGUCUUUUGUCUUUUUAGGGCCACACCCAUGGCAUAGGGGGGUUCCCAGGCUAGGGGUUGAACCAGAUCUGUAGCUCCUGGCCUAUCCACCGCCACGGCAAUGUGGGAUCCGAGCCACAGCUGUGACCAGCACCACAGCUCACAGCAAUGCCAGAUCCUUAACCCACUGAGCAAGGCUAAGGAUCGAACCACAUCCUCAUGGAUACUAGUUGAGUUUGUUAACCACUGAGCCACACGGGAACUCCCAAUCCAUUAACUUUUAAAAGAAUAUACCCACAACUGAUUUGUUUCGCAAGUAACAUAAAGACAUUUAUUUUUAAAUUAUCAAUAAAGUAAUUGUUUACAUUUAUUUAAAAAAAUGUAAACAACAAAAAACCCUUGAACGUCACCCCUCAGGACCUACCCACCAUUUUGUCCAAUUAGUCUAUGACUCAUGUUAUAUUACAGAAUAACCCAAGUGAGAGCAACCUCAGUCUCAGAAGAAAGGAAUGGACUAAAACAUUUUGUAUUAACAAAAGCAAUGUUAAUACUUAGCUAGCUUUUACCUGGAAGGAACCAUAGGAGAACACAUGAAAAUAUUUUCUUAGAAUGCUUAAUUAAGAGAUCUGUAAAAUAAAAUUGAAUAGGGAAGAUUUCCUGACUCAGGCACACUGUCCUAAAGUCUACUAUGUAAUAAAUACUUAGGACAACAUACAAUGGUGUGACUCAUUAUGAUGAUGGCUCAUAGAGUUGUUAAAAAAGCAAUGUCUUUCAUGAGUAAGUCUGUAAUCCAGAUGAUGGAAAAAAUAGUGUGAAAAAAAUGUUGAAAGAAGGCAAAAUCUUUUUCAAAGCAUGGAAUCAAAGGGAAUAUUCCCAAAUUCAUUCUUUAAACCCAUUGCUACCCUAAUACAAAACCCAGACCAAAACCUUAUAAAAAAUAAAAGUAC